rnacentral:rRNA from 1 species
UUUAUGGAGAGUUUGAUCCUGGCUCAGGAUGAACGCUGGCGGCGUGCCUAAUACAUGCAAGUCGAGCGAACUGACGAGGAGCUUGCUCCUUUGACGUUAGCGGCGGACGGGUGAGUAACACGUGGGUAACCUACCUAUAAGACUGGAAUAACUCCGGGAAACCGGGGCUAAUGCCGGAUAACAUAUCGAACCGCAUGGUUCGAUAGUGAAAGACGGUCUUGCUGUCACUUAUAGAUGGACCCGCGCCGUAUUAGCUAGUUGGUGAGGUAACGGCUCACCAAGGCAACGAUACGUAGCCGACCUGAGAGGGUGAUCGGCCACACUGGAACUGAGACACGGUCCAGACUC